rnacentral:rRNA from 1 species
UACGUAGGGAGCAAGCGUUGUUCGGAUUUACUGGGCGUAAAGGGCGCGUAGGCGGCAGAUCAAGUCAGUUGUGAAAUCUCUGAGCUUAACUCAGAACUGUCAACUGAUACUGCUCUGCUAGAGUGCGGAAGGGACAAUCGGAAUUCUUGGUGUAGCGGUGAAAUGCGUAGAUAUCAAGAGGAACACCUGAGGUGAAGACGGGUUGCUGGGCCGACACUGACGCUGAGUGCGCGAAAGCCAGGGGAGCAAACGGG